GCGUUCGGGUAAUCGCUGCAAUACAGGUUAUUGCAGAGGAAAGUCCAUGCUCGCACAGUGCUGAGAUGCCUGUAGUGAUCGCGCCUGGCGAAACCAUAAGCCAGGGCAGCAGCAAUGCUGACGGCAAGGAAAACACCUACGUCUUCUGGAUAUGGUGUGACUACUUUGAAAGUGCCACAGUGACGGAGCUUUGUCAGAAAUGACAAAGGUGGAACGAGGUAAACCCCGUGAGCGAGCAACCCAAAUUUUGGUAGGGGCACUUUCCGGACGGAAAUGAACGAAUGGAAAGGCAGAAGCAUCCGCUUUCUGCAGAUAGAUGAUUGCCGCCCGAGUACGAGGCCAAACCCCGGCCGUUUGCAGUACAAAGGAACAAAACAUGGCUUACAGAA
rnacentral:RNase_P_RNA from 1 species